UCAAUCUCGACGACUUUCUCCUUACCUUUCGACAUUCCCUAAGCUCUAACCACAACACCACCAACUACUACCCAAACAGAAGAGAAGAGAAAUUAUCUACAACUAUCCGAGACCAAGGAGAUAGAAGAAAUACCUGAAGUAAUGGUUCAGUCGGUGAAAGUCAGAGAUGGAGGCCUUUUAUGCCGGAACUUCUUUGCCGGAGAGACAGAGACGGAGACGGAGUGAAUGAUGAAUAUGCCGUUCGAGAGGAUUUGGUUUUCCUAAUGGGGACGGACUCGUGGGUUGCCAGCAUUUAACGGCGCCGAAUCCCGAGGGUCUCAUAACCGUCGGUUUGAAAUUCAAAUGGAGGGGGGGAUUUCUGCCACGUCACCUCGUCCGCAAUUAAAUGCGACAUGACUCUUGGCAGCCUUUUCCAAUCCCACGCGAGCGAGUACUAUCGAGUUUCUACUGCUGGUCCACUACAUUACCCAACACCAGAAACUGGGGGACCGGUGUUUAGGAG
rnacentral:lncRNA from 1 species